rnacentral:misc_RNA from 1 species
AACGCACAUUGCGCCCGCCGGCAUUCUGGCGGGCAUGCCUGUUCGAGCGUCAUUUCAACCCUCAGACCCCCGGGCCUCCCGGGGGACUGGCGUUGGGGACCGGCCCCGCCCCGUGCGGCGGCCGCCCCCGAAAUCCAGUGGCGGUCACGCCGCGGCUUCCUCUGCGUAGUAGCAAUCGCCUCGCAGCAUGGGACGCGGCGCGGCCACGCCCGAAAAUCAUACAUCUCGUGGUUGACCUCGGAUCAGGUAGGAGUACCCGCUGAACUUAA